CGAAGAGCAAAGCAAAAAGCCAAAAUGGAAUAAACCAAGUAAGUAUACAAAAACUCUUUCGAACUAUUCUUAUUACAUGUCGACUUUGAACUUUUUCUUUUGCUUUUCCUUU
rnacentral:ribozyme from 14 species